UAGGGCGUUCAGAAGUAGGGCAGGGCACAUUCUGCAGGGCAGUAGCGGGCUUUCUCCUUUGCCCUGAAGGUAUAGUUUGUCAGGGCCUUCUGCAGGCAGCUGGAAAAAGUAAUGCACCUGCCUUGGCUGAAGUGAAUCCUGUAUUAAAUCAGGUGCUUAAUGAGAGGACCAAAAUGGACUUGUGUCUCUGUCUCAAUUUAGCCUACCAUUGUAUACAAGGCAAUCAAUCCUUAGUUUACAUCCCUGAGUUGUAAGAGAUGCAUUAUAAACGUGCAUUAGUACAGUGCCUUUUGCCUGUGCAAAAUGCAUAUUUUUAUCUGUAUUUUAUCCCUUUGUGUGUGUAUGCUACAAAAUGUAACAAAAUAUCAUUAUGCUCUGAAGAAAAGAGAAAAUAUUAUAUCUUCUGAGUCUGUGGCCCACAAAUCCCUGAGAAGCCGAUAUAAAAAGGUUUAUCCCUGGCUCCAUGACUUGAACUCAUUUCGAUUCAAAUAGAUGAAAGUUAUAAUCCACCAGUUGGCUCCAAACACUUUUUUGAGACUUUAAUACAAUUUUAGACAUGUAGAUAAAGAUGUACAUUCACCUGACCUUUUCUCCAUUUGACCCACUUUACUCCUAGGGAAUACACGGGUAGUAAAGAAAUGGGAUCUGUUUUCUUUGGGAUGCACAAAAAGUUCCGGUCCUGGGUAAGCAAGCAAUGGCUAUUUAUAAAUAAUUUGAAGUAUACCUUCAAAUGGGAAGUAUUAUUAACUCAGGUUAUAAUAACAGAAUAGGUAUUAAGCAAAUUUCUAAAUCUAUUGCUUGAAGCAUCGAAGUUUCCGGGGGUGGGGACGGUUUGAUAAAUGCCAAACUGCCAAACACUGAAGGAACUGAGCUUUCCCUACUCAUCGUCUAAAGGUGAGCCUGCCGCAUUAUCACGGAUGCUGUGAUGGGCAGGUGUGUUCGUAGUCCUCUGAAAAUAGUGGAUUUCUUACGUGUGAGGUUCCUUGGCUGUGACCAACACAUGGCAGGUGCACCUUCCAUCUGGCUGCUCUGUUUUGUGCAGUGAGACUUGGAAGGAGUGUGGGGGACCAAGGAGAAUGAACAUGCACAUGAAGCCCAUCCUGGCUGCUGUGCCACGAGAAAGCUGACCUCAGGUGAUCCACCUGCCUUGGCCUCCCGAAGUGUUGGGAUUACAGGUGUGAGCCACGAUGCCAGGCCUGUAGAGCUCCUCUUUAGAAACUGUGUGCAGAGGGCAGGGCACAGUGGCUCAUGCCUGUUAUCCCAGCACUUUGCAAGGCUGAGAUGAGAGGACUGCUUGAGGCCAGCCUGGGCAACAUAGAGAGACCUUAAAAAUACAAAAAAUUAGCCAGGCGUGGUGGCGGGUGCCUGUAGUCCCAGCUACUCUGGAGGCUGAGGCAGGAGAAUGGUGUGAACCCGGGAGGCAGAGCUUGUGAGUAGCUGGGAUUACAGGCAUGUGCCACCACACCUGGCUAAUUUUUGUAUUUUUAGUCGAGAUGGGGUUUUACCAUGUUGGCCAGACUGGUCUCGAACUCCUGACCUCAGGUGAUCUGCCAACCUCAGCCUCCCAAAGUGCUGGGAUUACAGGCAUGAGCCACCACGCCUGGCUCUCUUUUUUUGAGACAAGGUUUCACUUUGUUGCCAAGGCUGGAGUGCAAUGGAGCAAUCUCGGCUCACUGUAACCUCUGCCUCCUGGGUUCAAGUGAUUCUCCUGCCUUAGCCUCCUGAGUAGCUGAGACGAGAGGUGCACACCACCAAGCUCGGCUAAUUUUGUAUUUUUAGUAGAGACA
rnacentral:lncRNA from 10 species